rnacentral:rRNA from 1 species
GGCUGCAUGGCUGUCGUCAGCUCGUGUCGUGAGAUGUUCGGUUAAGUCCGCUAACGAGCGCAACCCUCCGCUGUGUGUUACAAGUGUCACACGGAACUGCCGGUCAUAAACCGGAGGAAGGUGGGGAUGACGUCAAGUCAGCAUGGCCUUUAUAUCCUGGGCUACACACACGCUACAAUGGGAAGGGACAAUAGGUUGCGAAGCCGCGAGGCGGAGCCAAUCCAGCAAAACUUCCCUCAGUUCAGAUUGCAGGCUGCAACUCGCCUGCAUGAAGUUGGAGUUGCUAGUAAACGCAGGUCAGCCAUACUGCGUUGAAUACGUUCCCGGGGCUU